rnacentral:rRNA from 1 species
UACGUAGGGUGCAAGCGUUGUCCGGAAUUAUUGGGCGUAAAGAGCUCGUAGGCGGUCUGUCACGUCGGCUGUGAAAACCUGGGGCUCAACUCCGGGCCUGCAGCCGAUACGGGCAGACUAGAGUUCGGCAGGGGAGACUGGAAUUCCUGGUGUAGCGGUGAAAUGCGCAGAUAUCAGGAGGAACACCGGUGGCGAAGGCGGGUCUCUGGGCCGAUACUGACGCUGAGGCGCGAAAGCUAGGGGAGCAAACAGG